rnacentral:rRNA from 1 species
CGGCCUACACAUGCAAGUCGAGCGGUAGAGAGAAGCUUGCUUCUCUUGAGAGCGGCGGACGGGUGAGUAAUGCCUAGGAAUCUGCCUGGUAGUGGGGGAUAACGUUCGGAAACGGACGCUAAUACCGCAUACGUCCUACGGGAGAAAGCAGGGGACCUUCGGGCCUUGCGCUAUCAGAUGAGCCUAGGUCGGAUUAGCUAGUUGGUGAGGUAAUGGCUCACCAAGGCGACGAUCCGUAACUGGUCUGAGAGGAUGAUCAGUCACACUGGAACUGAGACACGGUCCAGACUCCUACGGGAGGCAGCAGUGGGGAAUAUUGGACAAUGGGCGAAAGCCUGAUCCAGCCAUGCCGCGUGUGUGAAGAAGGUCUUCGGAUUGUAAAGCACUUUAAGUUGGGAGGAAGGGUUGUAGAUUAAUACUCUGCAAUUUUGACGUUACCGACAGAAUAAGCACCGGCUAACUCUGUGCCAGCAGCCGCGGUAAUACAGAGGGUGCAAGCGUUAAUCGGAAUUACUGGGCGUAAAGCGCGCGUAGGUGGUUCGUUAAGUUGGAUGUGAAAGCCCCGGGCUCAACCUGGGAACUGCAUUCAAAACUGACGAGCUAGAGUAUGGUAGAGGGUGGUGGAAUUUCCUGUGUAGCGGUGAAAUGCGUAGAUAUAGGAAGGAACACCAGUGGCGAAGGCGACCACCUGGACUGAUACUGACACUGAGGUGCGAAAGCGUGGGGAGCAAACAGGAUUAGAUACCCUGGUAGUCCACGCCGUAAACGAUGUCAACUAGCCGUUGGAAUCCUUGAGAUUUUAGUGGCGCAGCUAACGCAUUAAGUUGACCGCCUGGGGAGUACGGCCGCAAGGUUAAACUCAAAUGAAUUGACGG